rnacentral:rRNA from 1 species
UUUAACGGAGAGUUUGAUUCUGGCUCAGAACGAACGCUGGCGGCGUGGAUAAGACAUGCAAGUCGAGCGAGAUUUUUUCCUGUAGCAAUACAGGGAAACGUCUAGCGGCGAACGGGUGCUUAACACGUGGGCAAUCUGCCAAGAAGUGGGGGAUAGCUCGCCGAAAGGCGAAUUAAUACCGCAUGUGAUCAGAGUGGACAUCCAUUCGAAAUCAAAGUCGGGGCAACCUGACGCUUUUUGAGGAGCCCGCGGCCUAUCAGCUAGUUGGUGAGGUAACGGCCCACCAAGGCUUAGACGGGUAGCUGGUCUGAGAGGACGACCAGCCACACUGGGACUGAGACACGGCCCAGACACCUACGGGUGGCAGCAGUCGAGAAUUUUUCUCAAUGGGGGAAACCCUGAAGGAGCGACGCCGCGUGGAGGAUGAAGGUCUUCGGAUUGUAAACUCCUGUCAUUGGGGAACAAUGCGUAAAUAUUAACUGUAUUUGCGUUGAUAGUACCCGAAGAGGAAGAGACGGCUAACUCUGUGCCAGCAGCCGCGGUAAUACAGAGGUCUCAAGCGUUGUUCGGAUUCAUUGGGCGUAAAGGGUGCGUAGGCGGCGCGGUAAGUCGGGUGUGAAAUCUCGGAGCUUAACUCCGAAACUGCAUUCGAUACUGCCGUGCUUGAGGACUGGAGAG